AAUACAGCCCAACUUUUAGAAUCUCUUCUUUUGUAUGAAAUUCAAGAAUUUCUUGAGGAUGCAACCUAGAAACCACUUUGUCUCUCUGGGUAGUACUUUAAAAAAUAUAUCAGACACUGCAUGUCAUAAACCACGGGCUUUGCAGUAGAUUGACCUUGUUCUUCAUUUUCUUGCCUACUAAAGAGAAGAAAUCCCAACAGAAAGCACAUACUAUAUACAACAUGUGUAUACAAACAUACAUGCAUAGCUGGGAUUUUUCUUCAAGCAGAACACAAGGCUGAGAAUGAAAAUACUUGUGAAUACAAGGAAGGUGAAUACUUGUGAAUACAAGGAAGGUAUGUAAAAAUUGCCGUAAGACAGUGCAACAAGGAAGCUGUUCAGUCCUCGUUCUAGACCUCUUUAUUUGCCUGCCAUCCCACCACACAAGAGGCGAACUGACGUGAACUAGCAACAAUCACAUAAACACUUCGUGUAAUUAACAGAAUUGCAGUUAACGAAUGCAUGCGACUCCAUCUCUUCUCUCUUGUUCCUAAGCACUCUGGCUGUGACCAUGCCUGCCUCUUGGCAACCCUGCUGCCUAGCGUAGAGGUGCCCUCAGCGCACUGCCCGUGAUGACUCCCGGCUGUUAUCCCCAUGGCCUGAAAAGAGCUGCAGAAAGGCAAGGCUUAAAGAACAGAGCUCAGCGGCUCCACCUGUGUGGUGAGGUGGAGCCCCGUGCAUGUGGGGCAUGCCCUGUGCCAAGCACAGUCCUCUAUCCCCAGUACAAUCCUCCAGAUCCACCUUGAGAAAGUGCCUGCUGAACUGAAGAUCAGCCCCGAGCAGAUUUAUCCCCAUGCUUCCCAGGGAGGCAAGGGAUAGCAGCAUCACUGGCUUCCUUGAGGAGAAGAAUGCCCUGCAGAUACUUGCAGGAGGAAUGCGUUACAUCUGCUGAUCCACAAGAGAAUAAUAACGUUGUCUAGCAGAAGUUAGAACAGAGUACCAAGGUAUCAUCCUAAAGGAGUCUGAGGAGAGGACAAGGCAAGUGUUACAGCAGAGAACUAGAAAUGUGUAGCAUAACCCAUCAUUUUCUGUGCCUCCGUAAGAUUAGCAAGCCACCUCCUCUGUGCAUCUUUAGUCCUGCUAACAAUUCUCAAUGUUCCUGCUCUGCUGCUAGAGAAUUGUUGCUUCAGGGGCUCUUUCAAUGACCACUUUUGGAGCUUGACUUUUAAAAAGAUUCAAGAUUCCUUUGUUGAUCGUCUGUUUACAGAGAUGGUUAUAUAAAAGCUGUGGGCCAGGCAGAUGUUAUUCGCAAUCAGUUUUCAGGAGCAACAUUUGAACGAAAAAUUGACUGCACUGGGAAAUGCAUAUUGCCGGCUGGCAGGUGCUUCCUAUAUGGAAAUCCACCAGGCUGGAGGAGGCAUACAUUUUACUGUGGAACACACUCGGAAAGCCACAGAAGAAGAGCUGUUCAAUACUUUCAAACACCGACUUGAAUGCAUGCGCAGAGCAGGAUCUACUUUGGUUGAGUGCAAGAGUGGAUACGGCUUAAAUUUAGAAACAGAACUUAAAAUGCUUAGAGUGAUUGAACGUGCCAAGCAAUCCAUGGAUAUUGGCAUUUCAUCAACGUACUGUGGAGCUCAUUCCGUGCCAAAAGGGAAAACUGCUACUGAAGCCGCAGAUGACAUUAUCAAUAACCAUCUCCCUAAACUGAAAGAACUCAAACUAAGUGGUGAAAUACAUGUUAACAAUAUAGAUGUGUUCUGUGAGAAGGGAGUCUUUGAUCUGGAUUCUACUAGGAGAAUUCUUCAAGCUGGAAAAGAUAUAGGGUUACAGAUUAACUUCCAUGGUGAUGAACUCCAUCCGAUGAAAUCUGCUGAGCUUGGAGCUGAACUAGGAGCCCAGGCUAUCAGCCACCUAGAAGAAGUUAGUGAUGAAGGCAUUGCAGCAAUAGCAAGAGCUAAGUGUGCAGCUGUCCUUUUGCCAACUACUGCCUACAUGCUAAGACUGAAGCAACCUCAAGCUAGAAAAAUGUUAAAUGAAGGAGUUAUAGUUGCUCUUGGCAGUGAUUUUAAUCCUAAUGCAUACUGUUUUUCAAUGCCUAUGGUGAUGCAUCUGGCCUGUGUAAACAUGAAGAUGUCAAUGAAUGAAGCGCUAGCAGCUGCCACCAUUAAUGCAGCGUAUGCUCUGGGAAAAUCAGACACUCAUGGCUCCAUAGAGAUCGGCAAGCAGGGGGACCUUGUUAUUAUAAAUUCAUCAAGGACCAGGCAAAGGAGAGCUGUUACUGACUCCGGCCAAGUGAUCAUAGCGAGGGGCAUCCCCGGAGCGGAGCUGCGGCAUGCCCCUAAGGACAGAGCACACGGCCCCCGCCAGACGCCAACACUCGCCUUCUGCUCCACGAGCAGCCUGUGAGCCGCUUCGAUGUCCGGGGCCAUGAAGCGGUCCUUCAUCCAAGGCCUGCAACGAGACCCAGUGAGAACACUGGCCAAACAUUAACCACCAGCGGCAGCGGGUCUCCAAAGCAGCAGGUGACCUCUGCCUGUCGCGUUUAUCUGAUCUUACCUCACAACUGAGCGCACGAGGUCGUAGACCUUCUCCAAUGGCGUUGUCGUCCUCAGAGGGCGUAGGAAUUCGAUGCCCUGGCAGGCAGCGAGCAGCUCGAUAGCCAGAACUAGGGAAUCACAACAGCAGGGGAGAUAUUCAGCAGGUGCAGCUCAGGGCAAGGCUUCCUUAAUGAAACUAGCCUUGGCAUUCGGUCUAGCUGGUAUGACAUUGCUUCAGGUAAUAUAAAAAGAACAGUGGAUCCACGGACCACUGAGAUGCAGCCCAGAAGCAGAUCAUUUUAUGGGUCAUCCAGCAUUUUAGAAAGCAGUUUUGGGGUGGUCUGCCGUGCAGACUUUUCAGUAUGGCAGGAACUCCUAGUUACCACAGUCUUAUACCAUAAUCUCUUCCAGGGUAUCUUGAAUACCCAAGGUAAUGGGCAUCAUAAAUUAGAAAACUUUUUAGGGCUGAGAUGAACAAAGAGGCCUGAGCUGUAGAAGGGUUCUGCUUAUGAAACUUUGAAGGAGAUUAUUCUUUCUGGAGAAGUUUGCACCUUAUCUGCCCACCUCAGACCUGAUGAUUAUUGGCAUUAGUUCCUCAGUCUCACAAGCCAACUCACCAAAGGAGCUGGCUAAAUCAGCUGGAUCUAGAAUAUGUUGUUUCUCAACACAAUGUUGAAAUGUGUUGUUUCUCAGACCCACUAGUCUGCACGUGAAGAAUGCAGUUCCAUAAAACUAAGUCUUUAGAGCACUCACAUGUAUAAACUCAAGUGGGAAAAUGAGUUUAAUGUUUGUGUCCUAUGUAUUACUCUGUUCUUCCACUAACAGCUGACAUCUGUAUCUAAGCACAUCAUCUGCCAAACAAAUAAAUAAAAGGAAAAAAAAAAAGAGCAAUCUGUACUUCAAAGCAAGAGAAAACAGUUUUGCUGAGCAUCCUGUAACCAUCCUCCCAUGGACACGUGGUCCUCCGUAGCAGCACUGGUGGACAGAGAAUCCACAGAGGAGGGAUGGCACAAGGCUUUGUUCUCCGAAACUGCAAAAACCCAAUGCAGUGCAUGUAGGGCAGAACAGGCAAUGAUACCAAAAACAGUAGCCAGCCUGGAUCAAACAGCUCAUCCACCACCACAGGCUGCAGUGGAGAACACAACUUCUGCCCCUCUUUGCAGAACACAUCAAUGUUUUAGCUGAGUAGUUUGCAAUAAACACCUUGAAAACUACCAUCACAUCUAAAAACAGUCACCAGUACUGGUCUUGAGAUGCAAAUAUUAACCAAAGAC